rnacentral:rRNA from 1 species
AACGAACGCUGGCGGCAUGCCUAACACAUGCAAGUCGAACGAGACCUUCGUGUCUAGUGGCGCAACGGUACGUAACGCGUGUUAACCUGCCCUUAGGUUCGGGAUAGCUCCCCGCAAGGUGUGCUAGUACCGGUUAAUGUCAUCGUACCAAAGAUUUAUCACCUUUGGAUGGGCCCGCGUUGUAUUAGCUAGUUGGUAAUGUAACAGCCUACCAAGGCGACGAUGCAUAGCUGGUCUGAGAGGAUGAUCAGCCACACUGGGACUGAGACACGGCCCAGACUCCUAGGGGAGGCAGCAGUGGGGAAUAUUGGACAAUGGGCGAAAGCCUGAUCCAGCCGUGCCGCGUGAGUGAGGAAGGCGUUAGGGUUGUAAAGCUCUUUUAAACGGGAUGAUAAUGACAGUACCGGGAGAAUAAGCGCCGGCUAACUCCGUG